GGUGCCAUGGUACCAUACGUUGAUGCAAAGUAAAAAGCAUAGAAAAUGUAUACAGUAGGCCUAGGCCUAUUCUUUGGUUGAUCUGGAAGAAUCAAGCAGCCUGGCCUCAAACUAAUGAUUGAUUUGCCUAACCACAAGAUUAGUACAAAACUAAAGACAAUUAACAGAAAGAGAAGACACAGCUUUUGAGCAGACACAAAUGAUCUAGAUGCUGGGAAUAACCACAAUACAAUCCUCGCAGCACCAUCUACUGCACAAGACAAAACUGAUUCCUCCAUGACAAGACAGAGUUGUCAAUGCAAGUCAACAUUUGUCAGAGGAGCUACUGUAACAAAAACAGCACUCUGAAGCGAAACAAGACUCAUGAAGACGUAAUUUAAUACAAUUUCUAAAUAGGAUGAAUCUCAUAUUGCCACGUCAUAUUCGAAAAUGAGACAUACCAAGAAAGUCUGGUUUGGUGCAUUUGUUGUUUGAGAGGUACACCGCAAGAGCUCCUCUUGUUUCUGACAAUUCG